AAUUUCAUAUGUUUAUUCAUUAAAAAAAAAAACACAUCUAAAGAACAAAAAAUAUUCAGAAGAAUCAUUCUAGUGUUCUUCAUCUUUUCUGGAUUUUCUUACAUCUCUCUCAAUUGUCAGACUGAAACUCUCUCUUCUUUCUAAAUUGGUUUCGCUAUCGCCGACUCGGCGUCACAGGUGCGGGCAACCGAUUUUCCUUCUUGUUUCUGGGUCAGUGGAUCAAGGAUCUGAAAGCCGAGCUUGCUUUGCUCUGUGUUUCCAAGGUGUCUUUGUUUACUUUGAUGGGUUGCUUUCUUUCUGAAUUGAUUUUGGUGGUUCAUGGAUUCUGACCUAUUUCUUGUUCUGUGAAAAGGGGUUUUUGUUUUUGGGUCGGUUGAGUGUGCGUGUGGUGUUUUGCUCUGUUUAAUCUUUGUCUGAAGGUGAAUCUUGGGUGCUGCUAUUCUUUGAUUCCUUCUAUGUACUCUUUUUUUCUUUAUGUUAUUUGGUGUAAUACUUUCGAUGACUCUUUGGGUUGUUUUGUUGUUUCUAAAGUUUUAGUUUUUAUUGAAAUUUACAUGCCAAUGAGAGUAAUGACACAUCAGAUUUUAAAAACUAGCAAUGACAUAUCAGAGUUCAAAUGUACAGCGUUUUUGGUUAAAAAGUGAUUUUAAAACUGAAUUUUUGGUUUAAAAUAGGGCUUGUUUGGGUGUAAGAGAAAAUGGAGAAGCAGGGCACUUUCUCAUACUCAUCAGCAUGAAGAUGGGUUUGAGGUUGUUGUUGUUGGUCAAAGCUGAUGUAAGAAUCCAUUAAUGCUGGAAGAGAUGAAGAGCCUGUGUCAUCAUAGCAGCUUCUCAUGCUAUUAGGUUUGCCACCAACUUCUCUGUUCUUGUAGAACACCCUACACAACACCUAAUCUUCCUGUAUGGACAGAAAAAAGAGUUAAUUAGAUGCUAUCAUAGUUAAUUUGAACCUAUGACUAUGCUUCAGAAAAUGGCCAAGGUUUGUGAAGCUUCAAUUUUUACCAUCAUUCAAUUGCUUCUUUUUCUGUUCUUUUUUGCUGCAUCAUUGAACUUCAAAGUGUUUGGACUAGUUGAUGGAGUACUCCCACUUGCUUGAUAAAGCAGAUGAGUGUGAGGAUCCAUACAUGCGGCUUGUGUAUGCAUGCUGACUUUAUUAGGAGUCCAGAAAUAAUCUCAGAAAGGAAGGUAAGGCCGUUAGAGUCGGUUCAUUCGUUUCAUGGGAACUUUUCAACGAGCAAUCGGAAGCAUACAAGGAGAGUGUUCUCCCUGCUGCUGUUUCAGCUGGUGUUUAGCAUUGAGCAUCGAUCACAUUUGGGUGGGAGAGAAUCAUUGGAAGCAAUAGGCAUUGAUCGAUUCGGAGCUAGCGCUCCAGCAGAAAAAAUAUACAAAGAGUUUGGCAUCACAAAGGAAGCUGUUAUUGCUGCAGCAAAAUCACUUAUCUAAGAUGUAUUAGUUUCUUUAUUUUUGUUUCUGCCUUGGUUUGAGUUGAUGAUUACAUUUAGAGGGAAAUUUGCAUGAGGCAUGUUUAAAGGGCAUUCCUUCACUUGAAUAAGGAAUAGGUUAGGUUACAUUUGUUUGUGAUUCUCAUUUGAGUUUCUUAGAUCAAAGUAGGAGAUGAAAGUUUUAUGAACUUGUAAGAACACUUUGAACAGUUGAGUUAUGCAUUUGCCACACGGUCAAAAUCAAA